rnacentral:tRNA from 2 species
GCCCGGAUGGCGAAACUGGUAGACGCAUCGGACUUAAAAUCCGCCGGGGGCGACCCCAUGCCGGUUCGAUUCCGGCUCCGGGCA